rnacentral:lncRNA from 1 species
UUUUUUUUUCUGGUUUUGGCUUAUUUUUAGGUUUUUCUUUCUUUCUUCUUUUAUUCACUGGGUUCGUUCUUCUUCUGUUUUUAACAUACUUACUAAAUAUUUUUUUAGAUAGGCUUCAAUACAUGAUGUUUUCAAAUACAUGAUGAACAUGUUUUCGAAUUUGCAUGAACAUUAUCUUAAUGUACGCUGAGCACCUUUUCUGCGUAUAGUGAUCAUUUUUUAAUGCUUGAUGAACUUUACUUUGCAAACAGUGAGCAUUUUUUAAUAUAUUGAACUUUCAGGUUGAACAUUUUUUUAAUGUAUACGAUGAAUAUUUUUGUAAUUUAGGUUGAGCAUUUUUUAAUAUAUACGGUGAUCUUUUUUGUAAUAUAGGUUGAACAUUUUCUUAAUACAUGAUGAAUUUUUUUGACAAUGUGUAUUUGAGAAAAUGUUCAGCAUGUUUUAAAAACUUAUUGCGUAAAAUCAUUCUAGCAUUUCGAGAAACACAUCAAUUUUUUAAUAAAAGGUUCACUGUUUUAGUGCACUAAUAUGUAAUCGCAAAAAAAAUACUAAUAUUAUGAUUAAAAAAUAAGUGAUUCAGGGCACGCAGCAGUGCUGGGCUCGGCCGCCGGCCCAGCGUGGCUACUAUAAUAUAAAGGAGGACCCGCCUGUAACUUAACGUAAGCGUCGCUGUGGCCGGUGGCUAGCGCGCUACGCCCGCGUGCCGCAGGUCGCAGGUUCGAAACCUGGUGUGCGCGAUUUUUCGUGUACUUUAUUUAUUUGUCCAGUUCGUUGAAAACUUUCGAACAAGUCCGAGCAAAAAAAAUUCUCUCACGGUUAACAUUUUUCUCGCAAAAAUAACGGGUAUUUAUGUGAUUACGUAUAAAGCAAGGGGUUUUUUUGCAAAAAAUAUGCCACGUCGGCACCCGACAGACGGGCCCCAACUGUCAGAUACACUGUCAGUACGUAUAAAUACGUGUUUUAGCCUGUUUUGGAAAAAUUUGGACGAAUGUUGGUACUGACACGCAAAAAUUAGCAAUCGUGGUACUAAUCUGCAUGUGAUGCCCGAAUUGUGGUACUUCUGUGCAAUUAACUCAGUGUCAAGAGAAGCAUCUUGGAGCAGCAUAUAUUGUGUGUGAGAGCGAGCAACGCGGUUUCCUGUUUCAGUACACAGUAGUAACAGAGGGGCAUGUUUUUCCUUGGGUACCUUUAUAUCGAUUAAGGAGGGUAAUCAAAGUAGAUGCAUUGCCAAUGCAUCUGUUAUUAUAUUCACCCACUAAUGACAAUUGCAACCAUACGGCCACACCAGCCACGUUGGCCGGUUUCACGUACAUUGCACUCUACACUGAACCUGUCAGAUAAGGGUCUGCACAGCAUCACAUAUCUAGAUCCCGGAGACCCAGGGUCUAAUCAUCAGAUAUUGUAAUCCGGGGGGUUAGCUAAGACUGAAAGAUCUGAAGAGACGUCUGCCCAAAAAGCCCUGUCAAAUGUUCACACCAUAGGCAGACCAUCAUGAUAUGGGAGGGCACACACCAGCAGGUUCAUUCGGCUAGUGAUGUACUCCCUCAGUAAAGAAAUAUAAAAGCGUUUAGAUCACUAAGGUACUAUGGACACGAACAAGGAUCAAGCAUGCAGACGUGAAGAUCGUGAUGCAUCACAGAAAUAUAGGUAACACCGGUAACCAGAACUACUCCUUCCAGUAUAAUAUAAGAGUAUAGUGUCCAAAAGGGAGUACUAAACCAGUAAAAUAGCAGACUGAAUAGAAAGAACACAACACGCAUCAAUGAGACGAUUCAGCUUCAAGUUUCUUGUCCAUACAUUCACAGCAGGAUGGUUUUGCCAAUUCCAUAGAUAGAGCAAAUGCCAAUUCUAAUCAUCAGAUAUUGUAAUCCGGGGGGUUAGCUAAGACUGAAAGAUCUGAAGAGACGUCUGCCCAAAAAGCCCUGUCAAAUGUUCACACCAUAGGCAGACCAUCAUGAUAUGGGAGGGCACACACCA